rnacentral:lncRNA from 1 species
CUUGUCCUCAUUUUGGAUUCUAUAAAUUCCCAAAAGCAAAGCACAAAAUAACGCAAUUUAAUAUGGGUGAUUAUUUAGCAGUACAAAACAAAAUUGAAAGAGGAAUACGAAAAACAACCUGGUGAGACAGAGUUAUUGACACGAGCUGCAAGAUGACGACUCCGGUGUUCUAAUCUGUUGCGAUCAAAUGCGAUGCAGUUCGCAAAUGGUUCGAUUUUGAAUGCUUGCCAACCUCCACCGUUUUCUUUGAUUUUAGGGACAAUGAGCCAAGACCUGUCAGACCCACAUUGAAGGUUCGCUGGUGUCGAACUUCCCGACAACUGGAAGUUCCGGC